UAGGGAAUCUUCGGCAAUGGACGAAAGUCUGACCGAGCAACGCCGCGUGAGUGAAGAAGGUUUUCGGAUCGUAAAACUCUGUUGUUAGAGAAGAACAAGGACGUUAGUAACUGAACGUCCCCUGACGGUAUCUAACCAGAAAGCCACGGCUAACUACGUGCCAGCAGCCGCGGUAAUACGUAGGUGGCAAGCGUUGUCCGGAUUUAUUGGGCGUAAAGCGAGCGCAGGCGGUUUCUUAAGUCUGAUGUGAAAGCCCCCGGCUCAACCGGGGAGGGUCAUUGGAAACUGGGAGACUUGAGUGCAGAAGAGGGGAGUGGAAUUCCAUGUGUAGCAGUGAAAUGCGUAGAUAUAUGGAGGAACACCAGUGGCGAAGGCGGCUAUCUGGACUGUAACUGACGCUGAGGCUCGAAAGCGUGGGGAGCAAACAGG
rnacentral:rRNA from 1 species